rnacentral:rRNA from 1 species
UACGUAGGGUGCGAGCGUUUGUCCGGAAUUAUUGGGCGUAAAGAGCUCGUAGGCGGUUUGUCGCGUCUGCUGUGAAAAACGCGGGGCUCAACUCCGCGCCUGCAGUGGGUACGGGCAGACUAGAGUGCAGUAGGGGAGACUGGAAUUCCUGGUGUAGCGGUGGAAUGCGCAGAUAUCAGGAGGAACACCGGUGGCGAAGGCGGGACUCUGGGCCGAUACUGACGUGAGGAGCGAAAAGCGUGGGGGAGCGAAACAGG